rnacentral:rRNA from 1 species
UACGUAGGGGGCUAGCGUUGUCCGGAUUUAUUGGGCGUAAAGAGCGUGUAGGCGGCCAGAUAGGUCUGCUGUGAAAACUCGAGGCUCAACCUCGAGAUGUCGGUGGAAACCAUCUGGCUAGAGUCCGGAAGAGGAGAGUGGAAUUCCUGGUGUAGCGGUGAAAUGCGCAGAUAUCAGGAAGAACACCCGUGGCGAAGGCGGCUCUCUGGGACGGUACUGACGCUGAGACGCGAAAGCGUGGGGAGCGAACAGG